GGACAAUAUACAAAAAUUCAUGAAGUCUCAUAUGUAACAUAAACUGAUGAACGCAGUAAAUACUCGGAGAACAAACAAAAUAGUAUGCUAGCUCAUGUUCCCGCUGUAAAUGUACUACAACCUGGAAUACCAUGUGUUUAAAAAGACAAUACAAAACAAUAGAAAGAGGGAAACAAUAUUGCUUGAGUUACACCGUAGGAUAUAGAAAAGGGUACUAUGACUGUGUUACACACAUACAACAGCGUAACAGCAACGUGUGUCUUAAGUGUUAUCAGUCACUGAGGUGACACACCAGUGAGACACUCCAAGGGUGUCUUGGGGCUUAAAGGGACACUCCAGGCACCCAGACCACUUCUGCCCAUUGGAGUGGUCUGGGUGCCAACUCCCACCACCCUUAACCCUGCAACUGUAAUUAUUACCUUGCAGGGUUAAGUCCUCCACUAGUGGCUGUCUACUAGACAGCCACUAGAGGGCACGUCCGGGAUAAUAGCACAGAUUAUCUGUGCUAUAGCGUCGCUGGACGUCCUCACGGUGUGUGAAGACCUCCAGCGUCGCUAAAAUCCCCAUAGGAAAGCAUUUUCAAGGCUUUCCUAUGGAGAAGUCUAAUGCACGCCGCGCAUGCGCAUUAGGUCUCCCCAGCAGGCGGGCGGGAUCAGUCUCUCCUGCCUGCUGACGUAAUGAAGGGGAGGACCGGCGGCGGAGGAAGAAGCAGCGACGUGGGACAUGUCGCUGCCUCUGGUAAGUGACUGAAGGGGUUUGCACCCCUUCAGCAACCAGGGAUGGGAGGUGGGAGGGAGAGGGACCUGCAGUGCCAAGAAAACUGAUUGUUUUACUGGCACUGGAGAGUCC